rnacentral:rRNA from 1 species
GGAUGUGAUCAUACCAGCACGAACACACUGGAUUCUAUCAGAACUCCAAAAUAAAAUGUGCUUGGAGAGAAUAAUACUAAGAUCAGUGAUUUUACAAUAGUCCUUGUAUUGCAUCCC